AGCUCCAAUAGCGUAUAUUAAAGUUGUUGCAGUUAAAAAGCUCGUAGUUAUAGUUGUGUAUGCUCAGUUGGAUGCCUUUCGGUAAUCUUGACUUGUGCAUACUGAUCUGGCGUUGUUCGCAAUGACAGGUGUGUUACUUUGAGAAAAUUAGAGUGUUUCAAGCAGGCUUAUGCCUUGAAUACUUCAGCAUGGAAUAACAAUUAAGGACUUUUUCCCUUUUUGUUGGUUAGGAGAAAAAGUGAUGGUUGAUAGAAACAAUUGGGGGCAUUUGUACUUGGCAGCUAGAGGUGAAAUUCUUAGAUUUGCCAAAGACAAACUACUGCGAAAGCAUCUGCCAGGGAUGUUUUCA
rnacentral:rRNA from 1 species